rnacentral:rRNA from 1 species
GACGAACGCUGGCGGCGUGCCUAAUACAUGCAAGUCGAGCGAAUCAACAGGAGCUUGCUCCUGUUGGUUAGCGGCGGACGGGCGAGUAACACGUGGGCAACCUGCCUGUAAGACUGGGAUAACACCGGGAAACCGGUGCUAAUACCGGAUAAUCCUUUUCCUCUCCUGAGGAAAAGCUGAAAGUCGGUUUCGGCUGACACUUACAGAUGGGCCCGCGGCGCAUUAGCAAGUUGGUGAGGGAACGGCUCACCAAGGCUACGAGGCGUAGCCGACCUGAUAGGGUGAUCGGCCACACUGGGACUGAGACACGGGCCAGACUCCUACGGGAGGCAGCAGUAGGGAAUCUUCCACAAUGGACGAAAGUCUGAUGGAGCAACGCCGCGUGAGCGAUGAAGGCCUUCGGGUCGUAAAGCUCUGUUGUUAGGGAAGAACAAGUACCGGAGUAACUGCCGGUACCUUGACGGUACCUAACCAGAAAGCCACGGCUAACUACGUGCCAGCAGCCGCCGUAA